CACGUAGGGUGCGAGCGUUGUCCGGAAUUAUUGGGCGUAAAGAGCUCGUAGGCGGUGUGUCGCGUCGGCCGUGAAAACCUGCAGCUUAACUGUGGGCUUGCGGUCGAUACGGGCAUCACUGGAGUUCGGCAGGGGAGACUGGAAUUCCUGGUGUAGCGGUGAAAUGCGCAGAUAUCAGGAGGAACACCGGUGGCGAAGGCGGGUCUCUGGGCCGAUACUGACGCUGAGGAGCGAAAGCGUGGGGAGCAAACGGG
rnacentral:rRNA from 1 species